rnacentral:tRNA from 1 species
UAGGAAGUGGUGUAGUGGAAGCACUUGGAGUUUUGAUCUCCAGAAUAUGGGUUCGAGUCCCUUCUUUCUAA